AUUGAACGCUGGCGGCAUGCCUUACACAUGCAAGUCGAACGGUAACAGGUCUUAGGAUGCUGACGAGUGGCGAACGGGUGAGUAAUACAUCGGAACGUGCCUAGUAGUGGGGGAUAACUACUCGAAAGAGUGGCUAAUACCGCAUGAGAUCUACGGAUGAAAGCAGGGGAUCGCAAGACCUUGUGCUACUAGAGCGGCCGAUGGCAGAUUAGGUAGUUGGUGGGAUAAAAGCUUACCAAGCCGACGAUCUGUAGCUGGUCUGAGAGGACGAUCAGCCACACUGGGACUGAGACACGGCCCAGACUCCUACGGGAGGCAGCAGUGGGGAAUUUUGGACAAUGGGCGCAAGCCUGAUCCAGCAAUGCCGCGUGCAGGAUGAAGGCCUUCGGGUUGUAAACUGCUUUUGUACGGAACGAAAAGCCCCGGGUUAAUACCCUGGGGUCAUGACGGUACCGUAGGAAUAAGCACCGGCUAACUACGUGCCAGCCGCCGCUGUAA
rnacentral:rRNA from 1 species